GCGGCGCCCUCCUCCUCCCUGCCCGUACCCAACAGCCUCUUGGGCUCGUCCGCCGCCAGUCCCACCACGGCAGCAGGGUAUUUUGGGCCCUCCUCCAGCUCAGCAGCUCUACACGGCAGCGGUGGCUUCUCCCGAGUCGUAUGUUCCAACCGACAUUGAGUCCACAAUGCACACCAUGACCUUGAACUUGCCCGACCAAAAUUGGUACAUGGACACCGGAGCCACUUCUCAUAUGACAUCCUCGGACGGAUUUUCAGACGGGGAUGCCACUAAUGCGGUGUGAUAGUCGGGGAGAUCUUUAUCCGGUUACCACCAUCAAAUAUCCAACCACCACUCCAUCAAACUUUGCGGCGUUGUCUUCUCCUUUUUGGCAUGCUCGCUUGGGUCAUCCGGGAAAUUCUAUCUUAGAUUGUCUUAGGGUUCGUAAAAGCAUUGAAUGUAAUAAAUCUAGUCUUUCUAGUAUUUGUCGUUCUUGUGUUCUUGGUAAACACAUUAAGUUGUCGUUUGAUUCUUC